rnacentral:rRNA from 1 species
AUGGAAUCACCUCACCAACAGACGACGAUAUGGUUUCAUCAGCGUUUGCAAUAUUGUGCUUUGCAUGUGGAAUCUGCUCGUGAUUCUGGUUCCCUCUCCAACACUGGACACUGCAUCUCCAACACUGGACACUGCAUCAUCUGCAUCGGCACCACUAUAAUUUUCUUUUGGAGCCAAAUCAUCAUUGUGGCUCUGAGGAACAGCUUCAUCGGCAUUGGUCACCGCAUCACCAGUAUUCUUCCCUUGGUUUCCCUUCUUCUUCCUGUUCCUCUUCUUUUUGCCAUCCAUCUCUUGUUUUGCAGCUUAGCCCUUAAAUUACUAUCUGUAUCUACUAGCAUGGCGACAACGAACAAAAUGAACUUUCAGCUAAUUUGUUGA